UACGUAGGGUGCGAGCGUUGUCCGGAAUUACUGGGCGUAAAGAGCUCGUAGGUGGUUUGUCGCGUUGUUCGUGAAACUCUCACGGCUUAACUGUGAGCGUGCGGGCGAGUACGGGCAGACUAGAGUACUGCAGGGGAGACUGGAAUUCCUGGUGUAGCGGUGGAAUGCGCAGCAUAUCAGGAGGAACACCGGUGGCGAAGGCGGGUCUCUGGGCAGUAACUGACGCUGAGGAGCGAAAAGCGUGGGGAGCGAACAGG
rnacentral:rRNA from 1 species